UACAGAGGUCCCGAGCGUUGUUCGGAUUUAUUGGGCGUAAAGGGUGCGUAGGUGGCGGGGUAAGUCAGGUGUGAAAUCUCGAGGCUCAACCUCGAAACUGCACUUGAUACUGCCUUGCUCGAGUACUGGAGAGGAGAUUGGAAUUUACGGUGUAGCAGUGAAAUGCGUAGAUAUCGUAAGGAAGACCAGUGGCGAAGGCGAAUCUCUGGACAGUUACUGACACUGAGGCACGAAGGCCAGGGGAGCAAACGGG
rnacentral:rRNA from 1 species